UAGAGUUUGAUCAUGGCUCAGAUUGAACGCUGGCGGCAGGCCUAACACAUGCAAGUCGAGCGGAAACGACACUAACAAUCCUUCGGGUGCGUUAAUGGGCGUCGAGCGGCGGACGGGUGAGUAAUGCCUAGGAAAUUGCCUUGAUGUGGGGGAUAACCAUUGGAAACGAUGGCUAAUACCGCAUAAUGCCUACGGGCCAAAGAGGGGGACCUUCGGGCCUCUCGCGUCAAAAUAUGCCUAGGUGGGAUUAGCUAGUUGGUGAGGUAAUGGCUCACCAAGGCGACGAUCCCUAGCUGGUCUGAGAGGAUGAUCAGCCACACUGGAACUGAGACACGGUCCAGACUCCUACGGGAGGCAGCAGUGGGGAAUAUUGCACAAUGGGCGAAAGCCUGAUGCAGCCAUGCCGCGUGUAUGAAGAAGGCCUUCGGGUUGUAAAGUACUUUCAGUUGUGAGGAAGGGUGUGUAGUUAAUAGCUGCAUAUCUUGACGUUAGCAACAGAAGAAGCACCGGCUAACUCCGUGCCAGCAGCCGCGGUAAUACGGAGGGUGCGAGCGUUAAUCGGAAUUACUGGGCGUAAAGCGCAUGCAGGUGGUUCAUUAAGUCAGAUGUGAAAGCCCGGGGCUCAACCUCGGAACUGCAUUUGAAACUGGUGAACUAGAGUGCUGUAGAGGGGGGUAGAAUUUCA
rnacentral:rRNA from 1 species